UACGUAGGGGGCAAGCGUUAUCCGGAAUUACUGGGUGUAAAGGGAGCGUAGGCGGUAUUGUAAGUCAGGUGUGAAAGCCCGUGGCUCAACCACGGGACUGCACUUGAAACUACAAAACUAGAGUACAGGAGAGGAAAGUGGAAUUCCUAGUGUAGCGGUGAAAUGCGUAGAUAUUAGGAGGAACACCAGUGGCGAAGGCGGCUUUCUGGACUGUAACUGACGCUGAGGCU
rnacentral:rRNA from 1 species